AUGACCGCGUCCUGUUAUGGCCGAGUGGAAAGUUUGCUGGUCCAAUUCGGUUCGGGUCUCAUUUUUGGACUCAAGAAGACCUCUACAGACCAACAUCCAAACAUGAGUGGGGCGAUACAUCUAAUCUGCCUGGCUCUGUUUGGCUGGCCUGUAUCUGGUGCUUCUGUUGAAGCUCAGAAGACCUCCCAGGUCUGUUACCUCUGUAACCAUGAUAACUGCCCAGCCGUUGAGUAUGUUUAUGACCAUUUGACGGAUUUGACUUUGUGGUCGCGAGGUAAAAUGGCUGACCUCCCUCCCUGCCCCACCACCUCCCCCGCGCAAUCUGGAAAAUGCUUGUUGUGUGUUGAGAACCAGAAGGUCUACGCUGUGUGUGAAUCAGAGAUCAUCAAGCCAGUCUUUGAGGGCCAAGGCAACUCCAUGCCUAUUAUCAAAGCCAGUGAGUUUCUGUGAGGGCCCAUGACAGUACAACCUGGGAGAGGAUAGUCAAUAGAGGGAACAAACAAAGCAGAUUUCAGGAAAUGGUCAUAGGUGUCAAUUAUUAAUGUUAAGGGGCUAUUGGAAGUUGUAGUUUAUUAUACAGUAUGGUGUAACCCUCUAUAGCAGUGUCAUAAACCAGCCACUGCUAUGAGCAUUUCCCAGCUGAUCCAGCCCUCUGUUGUUGUAUGGAAUCAUACCUGUACUGUCAUUACAGAUUGUCCCAGCAUUGUUUCAACUGAUCAGACGGGUGAGUUCCAUUCAAUAUUCAAACUGUAUUUCAAACAAAACAUAUCUUAUGGUUAUUUUACAUUACAAGAGUAAAUUCCAUAACAGAGAAAAAUAACAUAACAGCAGUCUGGGUAUUCUACAGUGUGUUUGUCUUCACCAGGUGGAGCUGGAGGUUUAGCCAGGCAUCCUGGUGAGUGCAGAAACCCACAGAACAGCAAUGCUCAACUCAGGAUUGUGUGAACCAAGCAUAAAGAUACAAACUCUGAGUUCUUGCUGGUGUGUGAGAGAGACUUCAUUGUUGUUCAUCGAGGAAAUACUACAAAUCAAAUCUGAAGAUCAGCGAUGUGUGGUAGUGUUUAAGUGUUAGAUGGUGAUGAUUAGUGUUCUUUGUGCUUAACUGCUCUUCCUGUCCUCCUCUCCCACAAACAGAUCCAAAUGUCCCCACUUUGACCCCCGAUGGCACUGGCGAGUUAUCCAAGGAAGCAAAGAUCGCUAUUGGUGUGCCAGCCACAAUCGCCUUGCUCGUCAUCCUCGUCAUCAUCAUCAUUGUUGCUUUGCGCAGAAGGACCAGAUCAAGUAAGCAGGUGGGGGCGGGGCACAGGGUUUACUGGCUAAACAUGUCCCUCUCUAUAGGAGAUUACAGGUUUUCUGGCUUUUAUAUAGUCACUUAGCUGGCUUUUAUAUAGUCACUUAGCUGGCUUUUAUAUAGUCACUUAGCUGGCUUUUAUAUAGUCACUUAGCUGGCUUUUAUAUAGUCACUUAGCUAAGUCACUUAGCUGGCUUUUAUAUAGUCACUUAGCUGGCUUUUAUACAGUCACGUAGCUGGCUUUGAGUGUAUUUGAGUGGUCUUUUUUCUUGUGGUUGUCUUCACAGGGUUUUGUCUAGUGUCCACUUCAGAAGUCCAGUCAGGAACACCAGACCCAGUUAAAGUUAUUAAAGACCAAUGUUCAUAUUGUGUGAGCCUAGGAAAAGAGGAAGAGAUGGACCUGCAAGGAGGGUGUUAAGAUAUGAAUAUCUCAUCAUAUAUUUUCAGGGUGAAUGUUGUCUACUUCCUGUCUAGUUUUAUUCAAACCUAUGGUUUAACUUGAGGAAACAGUACGGUCUAUUAGAAAACCAGGUGUUACGAACCCCUUUUGCCCUGCAGUCUAGGGGGGAUGGAAACGAGACCCGUAACAUAUCUCAUGCAAAUUAUAACAAUGAAAAGGAACAGUGAGAACUAAAAGAAAUCCACAGACAACCUAAACCUACCGUCAAACACUUUAGGUUUAUUUCAAACACACGGUAAUGGGGUGUGGGAAAAAGGGCUGAACUGGACCCAAGGAAAGAAAUAUCCAAAAACCCCUAAGCUAGUCUUACCUGCUUCACGAACAGCUAGCUAACUAACCAAUAAAAUACAGUGGGUGCUCCGCCCAGUUCUAACUAGGGUAUUUAGACAAAGGUUUUUCUACGGGUAAUGUAUGCCCAAGGGCGACUUGGCUUGGUAUCCCCUUUUCCCACCAACAAACAAACAGCCAUUCAGCACAGCAAUACAUACUCACAUGCUAAUGGCCAAUGUGAGAUGUAGGCUCAAAAACAAAAGAGAGAUAGCUCUAGAGACAACUGAUUGGGAUUAUUUUAAACCAAGGGAAAGGGGAUGUGAUUGGGUAAGGGAAAAGGAGCAGGUGUGUCUUCAGAUUGGCGACUGAUGACUGCCACCUGUGACUAGGGCAGAAGGAGAGAAACUAUUCGGACACUACAGACGUUUACGUGAGAAGACACAUUUUUGGGAUGUCUCAUGGUCUGAUAAACACCCUCUAGCUCUGCCACCUUUCACCGCAGAUGCAGAAGUACGACACUGGCGGAUGCGGUGGAUUGAAACGCAUCCAAUGCAAAAAAACAUACAGGAUCUCAAUCUUAAACUGAGGGAUUUUGAUAGAUUUUUUGGUUAUGUAACUUAGAUUGACACACCGGUGUGUCUCUAGGGGGUUAAACCAUAUACGUUUUGGUUCACCAAGUUUGUGUGUUUUGCACAGGUCCGGCCCGCUCGUUAGGCACGAUUAGGUGGCCGCCGUUGGCGCCAGAUUGACGAGGGCGGCAUUUUCUGAGCUAAACUGGCCAUUUCUGGCCAUUUCAAUCAACCAUGGUUUUGCAUGGUUGAUUGAAACAUGAAGUUAUGUUUUUACCAUUGCAAGUAUUUGCAUUGUACUGUAAUUGCUUGUCUGGUGAGGUUAAUUGGUGUUAGUGAUUAGUGUUCUGCAGAGGUUGACCAGAAAGAGGCCUCCAGAAUAAAAUACUGUAUACAAGGGCCACAUGUUUGAGUUCAUAAAUUCUCCUCAGACAUCGAUCUGGACUGAUCAAGAGGGUUAAUUUUUCGGGUUUCUUGUAAAAAUCUUGACAGUCCACUAGCCAACUAUAAAAGCAUGAAGGAUGCAGUCAUAAUGUCAAAAUGAAUUCAAGUUCUUUCCUGUGUAUUGACAGUUCAUGCAUAAUCUAUUCCGUCCUAUUUUAGUCUUUGUUCUAUUUGAUUAUACAAAGCCCUAUUUACAUGCAAGGGAAUCUACAGCCAUCAAUAUCCUGGUGCAAGUGAUGCUCAUCUUAUGUGCUCGUUCCUUGUCUAUUUUCAGAAUAAACAACACCAGAGAACUGGGAUCGCUGGCUGGGCAUGUGUUUAUUUACACAGCACAUAAAUAGCAGUACAAUCACAUCUGUUAACAUCUGUUUAUAAAACUGGUGAGAAGAAGAAGAAAGGGAGAGGAGAGGGACAGGAGAGGGAACAUGUUUUAGGAAUUCCAUUCCUAUUGACCAAAGUCCAUAUCUGGAUACACAUCACUGAUUUAAAGUGUUUCAACUGAUUGAGGGUUGUUCCCUCAGCUGUCUCUCAGCCAAGCACAAAGCAGCUCUACAGGGGAAUUUACAUUUCAGGUUAAUUACACCACCAUUCCUAGUUACAGAAAUGUCUUUGUUUGAGUGGUCACUAUGGAGAUGAACAGUAAAUACCAAAACAGAACAGUAGUCGUUUCCUGUUUACGUCCCUGACUCCAGUAUGACAUGACACCAUAUUGUAUUCACAGUCUGGGAGACUCAUAAGGGGACUCCCUUAAUCAACAUCCACACCCCAGGAACAGUUCUUGGUGGUGGUUAACUGCCUUGCUCAGAACGGGCAGAACGGCAGAUUUUUCCACCUUGCCGGCUCGGAGAUUCGAACCAGCAACCGUUCAGUUCAGGGGUGCAACUUUCACUGGGGACGGGGGACACCCCCCCAUUCUGAAAUUGCAUUUUUGUCCCCCCCCAGUUUUAUCAUUGGAAUGUGAUACAAAAAGAGGCAACUGAGUGCUUUAGGAUCAUGCGGACGCCUCCGAGUGGUCGGGUAGGCUGUUUGGAGUGUUUAUCCGACUGGAUAAAAAAAAAAAAAAGUUAUGUCCAUCCCACUUCUAAACCCAAAGUUGCACCCCUGGUUCAGUUACUGGCACAUUACCCUCAACACCAUAAAGAAUGGAACACAAUGAGCAGAUACAUUAUUAACAGCAGCUCCAGGGCCCUCACCCAAAAAGUAAUCAGCUUCCCCAUGAUGGCCGAAGGCAGGCUCCCCUAUGCAUCUCACAGACACACCCCACCCACC
rnacentral:lncRNA from 8 species